GCCGAUUGGUCCAGGAAUGGUGCCGGUCAAGCGAGCAAUAUUCUCGGACUUAAGGGUGACUUUGAUGCCAGACUCUUCUAUGUCUCUACUGCAUUCUUGAAGUUCUUUUUGUACGCGAGCAAAAUCGAUCAUCCUGAAUUGAGUGAUGAGAAAUAUAAAAGUCCAAAUAUAGAGAAAGUAAAAGGAAAAUAAAGGGAGCUAAAUUGCAGUGUCAAGGGAAGGAUAAGAAGAAGCGAAGAGAAGAGAAUAAAGGCUCUUCCUUUCUCUCUCUCUCUCUCAUAGUUGCUUCGCCCACCCCGCUUUAGAGAGAGAAGAUUUCCUU
rnacentral:misc_RNA from 1 species